rnacentral:rRNA from 1 species
AGAGUUUGAUCAUGGCUCAGAACGAACGCUGGCGGCAGGCCUAACACAUGCAAGUCGAACGAGCUGAGACCUUCGGGUCUCGAUGCUAGUGGCGCACGGGUGAGUAACGCGUGGGAACGUACCCUUUAGUACGGAAUAACCCAGGGAAACUUGGGCUAAUACCGUAUACGCCCUUCGGGGGAAAGAUUUAUCGCUAAAGGAUCGGCCCGCGUCUGAUUAGGUAGUUGGUGAGGUAACGGCUCACCAAGCCUACGAUCCGUAGCUGGUCUGAGAGGAUGAUCAGCCACACUGGGACUGAGACACGGCCCAGACUCCUACGGGAGGCAGCAGUGGGGAAUAUUGGACAAUGGGCGAAAGCCUGAUCCAGCCAUGCCGCGUGAGUGAAGAAGGCCUUCGGGUUGUAAAGCUCUUUCGGCGGGGACGAUGAUGACGGUACCCGCAUAAGAAGCCCCGGCAAACUUCGUGCCAGCAGCCGCGGUAAUACGAAGGGGGCUAGCGUUGUUCGGAAUUACUGGGCGUAAAGCGCACGUAGGCGGUGUUCCAUGUCAGAGGUGAAAGCCUGGGGCUCAACUCCAGAAUUGCCUUUGAAACGGGAACGCUUGAGUCCGAGAGAGGAUGGCGGAAUUCCUAGUGUAGAGGUGAAAUUCGUAGAUAUUAGGAAGAACACCAGGCGAAGGCGGCCAUCUGGCUCGGUACUGACGCUCAGGUGCGAAAGCGUGGGGAGCAAACAGGAUUAGAUACCCCCGUAGUCC